rnacentral:tRNA from 1 species
GGGAACAUAGCUCAGUUGGCUAGAGCAAUUGACUUUUAAUCAAUGGGUCGAGAGUUCGAAUCUCUCUGUCCCCACCA